ACGAAUUCCAGAGUCCCGUCGCUCCUACCGAUUGGGUGUGCUGGUGAAGAGUUCGGACUGGCCAGGCGCUCGCAAGGGCUCUGGGCCGGGAAGUUCUUUGAACCCUCUCGCCUAGAGGAAGGAGAAGUCGUAACAAGGUUUCCGUAGGUGAACCUGCGGAAGGAUCAUUUAUUCGAUCGUAACAACACGCCAAUCAAUGGUAACCUCUGUCGUACCCCUGUAUACCUUGGUCCCCGGGUUAGCCCGGUGGGUAGCCAAGUAUACAGGGCAACUUUUUUUUUUCUCACCACAACCGCCAAAAAUAUUUUAUUAAAGCACAAGUUUAAACAAAGUCGCACCUGCACUUGGCUCAGCCAAUGUAGGCUUUGCGCAAAUAACCAAGAAAAACCCCUAACAACGGAUGUCUUGGCUCUCGCAACGAUGAAGAACGCAGCGAAGUGCGAUAUGUAGUGUGAAUUGCAGAAUUACGUGAAUCAUCGAAUCUUUGAACGCAUAUGGCACCCGAGACCUCGGUCGAGGGUAUGUCUGCCUCAGAGUCGGCGUAAACCAACUCCCCUGUUGCGGCUCCAAGCGAGCCCCCCAGGGGGAACUGACUCUUCCCGCACCGCAGGUGCGGGUUGGUCGAAGGCAAGAUACGGGUACACCUGGCCGGAGCCGUUCCCGGUCGGACCGAGAUUUGUUGGGUAGGACCAAGGUCCAACUUAUUCGUCUCGGGACGAGGGUUACGGCAGUGCCGUUGGUUACCCGCAUUGCAGGAAUAUGUGGGAGGAUAUCUUCCUCCCCUCUUUCAUCCGACCUGAGUUCAGGCAAGAUCACCCGCUGAACUUAAGCAUAUCAAUAAGCGGAGGAAAAGAAACUAACCAGGAUUCCCCUAGUAACGGCGAGCGAAAAGGGAAGAUCUGGUAGCGGCCGCUCUAGAGGAUCCUGCCGC
rnacentral:rRNA from 1 species